rnacentral:rRNA from 1 species
AGAAUCAACGCUGGCGGCGUGCCUAACACAUGCAAGUCGAACGCGAAAGUCCCGAAAGGGAUAAGUAGAGUGGCAAACGGGUGAGUAACACGUGGGUGACCUGCCUUCGAGCGGGGGGAUAACGUCCCGAAAGGGACGCUAAUACCGCAUAACAUCCUGCCUUUUAAGAGGUGGAGAUCAAAGCCGGGGACCGCAAGGCCUGGCACUUGAAGAGGGGCCCGCGUCUGAUUAGCUAGUUGGUGGGGUAACGGCCCACCAAGGCGGUGAUCCGUAGCUGGUCUGAGAGGAUGAUCAGCCACACUGGGACUGAGACACGGCCCAGACUCCUACGGGAGGCAGCAGUGGGGAAUCUUGCGCAAUGGGCGAAAGCCUGACGCAGCAACGCCGCGUGAGGGAUGAAGGCCGUUCGGGUUGUAAACCUCUUUCGAGCAGGGACGAUAAUGACGGUACCUGCAGAAGAAGCUCCGGCCAACUACGUGCCAGCAGCCGC